rnacentral:tRNA from 1 species
GCUGGUGUAGCACAACAGGCAGUGCAGAGCUUUCGUAAAGCUAAGGUUGCAGGUUCAAUUCCUGUCGCCAGCUCCA